GACAGAGGGUGCAAACGUUGUUCGGAAUUACUGGGCGUAAAGCGCGUGUAGGCGGCUCGGCAAGCAUGGCGUGAAAGCCCCCGGCUCAACCGGGGAGGGUCGUCGUGGACUGCCGGGCUUGAGGGCGGGAGGGGCUGGUGGAAUUCCCGGUGUAGUGGUGAAAUGCGUAGAGAUCGGGAGGAACACCCGUGGCGAAGGCGGCCAGCUGGACCGACCCUGACGCUGAGGCGCGAAGGCGUGGGGAGCGAACGGG
rnacentral:rRNA from 1 species